rnacentral:rRNA from 1 species
UGCAGUCGAGCGGUAGCACAGGAAGAGCUUGCUCUCUGGGUGACGAGCGGCGGACGGGUGAGUAAUGUCUGGGAAACUGCCUGAUGGAGGGGGAUAACUACUGGAAACGGUAGCUAAUACCGCAUAACGUCUUCGGACCAAAGUGGGGGACCUUCGGGCCUCACGCCAUCAGAUGUGCCCAGAUGGGAUUAGCUAGUAGGUGGGGUAAUGGCUCACCUAGGCGACGAUCCCUAGCUGGUCUGAGAGGAUGACCAGCCACACUGGAACUGAGACACGGUCCAGACUCCUACGGGAGGCAGCAGUGGGGAAUAUUGCACAAUGGGCGCAAGCCUGAUGCAGCCAUGCCGCGUGUGUGAAGAAGGCCUUCGGGUUGUAAAGCACUUUCAGCGAGGAGGAAGGGUUCAGUGUUAAUAGCACUGUGCAUUGACGUUACUCGCAGAAGAAGCACCGGCUAACUCCGUGCCAGCAGCCGCGGUAAUACGGAGGGUGCAAGCGUUAAUCGGAAUUACUGGGCGUAAAGCGCACGCAGGCGGUUUGUUAAGUCAGAUGUGAAAUCCCCGCGCUUAACGUGGGAACUGCAUUUGAAACUGGCAAGCUAGAGUCUUGUAGAGGGGGGUAGAAUUCCAGGUGUAGCGGUGAAAUGCGUAGAGAUCUGGAGGAAUACCNGGUGGCGAAGGCGGCCCCCUGGACAAAGACUGACGCUCAGGUGCGAAAGCGUGGGGAGCAAACAGGAUUAGAUACCCUNGGUAGUCCACGCUGUAAACGAUGUCGACUUGGAGGUUGUGCCCUUGAGGCGUGGCUUCCGGAGCUAACGCGUUAAGUCGACCGCCUGGGGAGUACGGCCGCAAGGUUAAAACUCAAAUGAAUUGACGGGGGCCCGCACAAGCGGUGGAGCAUGUGGUUUAAUUCGAUGCAACGCGAAGAACCUUACCUACUCUUGACAUCCACAGAAUUCGCUAGAGAUAGCUUAGUGCCUUCGGGAACUGUGAGACAGGUGCUGCAUGGCUGUCGUCAGCUCGUGUUGUGAAAUGUUGGGUUAAGUCCCGCAACGAGCGCAACCCUUAUCCUUUGUUGCCAGCACGUAAUGGUGGGAACUCAAAGGAGACUGCCGGUGAUAAACCGGAGGAAGGUGGGGAUGACGUCAAGUCAUCAUGGCCCUUACGAGUAGGGCUACACACGUGCUACAAUGGCGUAUACAAAGAGAAGCGAACUCGCGAGAGCCAGCGGACCUCAUAAAGUACGUCGUAGUCCGGAUCGGAGUCUGCAACUCGACUCCGUGAAGUCGGAAUCGCUAGUAAUCGUAGAUCAGAAUGCUACGGUGAAUACGUUCCCGGGCCUUGUACACACCGCCCGUCACACCAUGGGAGUGGGUUGCAAAAGAAGUAGGUAGCUUAACCUUCGGGAGGGCGCUUACCA